rnacentral:rRNA from 1 species
UGAGGAAUAUUGGUCAAUGGGCGAGAGCCUGAACCAGCCAAGUAGCGUGCAGGAUGACGGCCCUAUGGGUUGUAAACUGCUUUUAUGUGGGGAUAAAGUGCGUGACGUGUCAUGCAUUGCAGGUACAACAUGAAUAAGGACCGGCUAAUUCCGUGCCAGCAGCCGCGGUAAUACGGAAGGUCCGGGCGUUAUCCGGAUCUUUUGGGUUUAAAGGGAGCGUAGGCUGUCUAUUAAGCGUGUUGUGAAAUUUACCGGCUCAACCGGUGGCUUGCAGCGCGAACUGGUCGACUUGAGUAUGCAGGAAGUAGGCGGAAUUCAUGGUGUAGCGGUGAAAUGCUUAGAUAUCAUGACGAACUCCGAUUGCGCAGGCAGCUUACUGUAGCAUAACUGACGCUGAUGCUCGAAAGUGCGGGUAUCAAACAGG